AGUGGCCACACUGUUUUGCAUUCCCACCAGCACUGUAUAAGGGGUUCCCUUGUCUCCACAUUCUGGCCAACACUUGCUCUCUCUUGUUUUUUGGACAAUAGCCCUCCUAACAGAUUAAAUAAACUUCUUGGAGCCAAAAAUCAUCACUUUGUAUUCCAUAGAUUACCCGGAGUAUUGCUAAAGUCCUAAAGCAAGAAUCACAAACUCAGGUGGCUACAGGAGUUUAUUAGAGUUGCUCUGUGCGAUAGAACUUUCUGUGAAGAUGGGAAUAUUCUAUCUGUACUGUCCAACACCAUAGCCACUACAUAUCUUUAGCUAUUGAGCACUUGAAAUGGACUAGUAUAAUUGAGAAACCAAAAUAUUUUAUUUUAAUAAAUUUAAAUAACCACAUGUAGCAAAUAGGUGCCCUAUUUGGACAGCACAGAAUUAGAGUAAUGUUAGAUUCCAUGCAACUAAACCAAAAUUUCAAUGAUUUAACCUAAGAGUUUUCUUUUUCACAUAAUAGCCCAAGUCUAGUGUGAAUAUUUCUGUAUGCCUGGGGCAGGUCUUGCUUCUUCAUCUUGUAGCUUCAUCAUCCCUUAAGACCUUGGAAAUCUUUGCUUCCAGCCGGCAAAAGGAGAGAAAAGUCCACUUCUUACAAACCCCAGGCUGAGAGUCAGAAAGAUCACUCUGCUGACCUUCAGUUAGUGAGAUCUAGUCACAUGGCCGCCUCUGAAUGCAAGGAACUGGAAAAUGUAGUCCCUGACUAGACAGCCACUAUCCAGCAAUAAAUUCAACGCUAUGGUAGGAGGAAUACAAAAUUUUGAUGGUUAAUUCUGCCACAAGAGACCAAGCAAGUAAUAUACGAAAGUCAAAAUGGGCCAGAUGUCAGUGUAUAUGCAUUCACUGUAUGAGGCAAGCAGAGCUGUGGCAUGCCCCAAACACAGAGAAAUUAUUAUUCGUUUUCAACCAGUGUUGUUCUGUUUUCAGGUGGGACCAGUGUUGCCAGAUCUUUUAGUUUUAGGAUUUGGGGUUUUGGUUUUUUGUAAUGAAAAUCUGAAACUCACAUUUUUAUGUGAAAUAUCCCUAAUUUUAAAAGAUUAUGAAUAAAACUGCUACAAACAUUCAUGUACAAGUUUUUCUCAAACAACUGUUAUGUUUAACUUUUAAGAAAUUGCUAAAUUGUUUUCCUAAAUUGCUGUACCAUAUUUCAUUCCUGCCAACAAUAGAUGACAGUUCCGAUUGCUCUGCAUCCAACCCUCGGUGUUGUCAGUAUUUCUAAUUUUAGCCAUUCUGAUAGGUAUGUAGUGUUAGCUCAUAAGGUUUUUAAUUUCACUUCCUUAUUGGCUAAUGAUGUUGAACAUUUUACAUGUGCUUAUUGGCCAUCUUUAUAUCAUGUUUGAUCAAGUGUUCAUUCAAAUCUUUUUCCCAUUUUUAAUUGGUUUGCUUGUUUUCUUACUGUUGAGUUUUGGGAGUUCAUGUAUUCUUUGUACAGAUUUACACAAGCCUUUUGUUGGGUAUGUGAUUUGCCAAUACUUUUUCCUAAUCUGUAGUUUGUGUUUGCAUUUUCUUAACAGUGUCUUUCUUGGAGCAAAAACUUCUCAAUUUUGAUGAACUUUUUGUCUAACUCUAGGUCACAAAGAUUUUUUCCUGUAUUUUAUUACAAAAAUUUAUAAUUUUACAUUUAGAUCUACAAUUAAUAUGAGUUAAUUUUUGUGUAAGGUUUAGAUCGAGGUUCAUUUGUUUGCAUUUGGAUGUCCAGUUGUCCUAACACCAUUUGUGGACAAAUAAAAGGGGAAUUUUGUAGGCUGCCACGAGGAAAUAAGCAAAAGAAAUUUCUUAACUUCUGUAUUCUCACUAUAGGACUUUCUAUAAGGCUUUCUCGUUCCCAUUGUGUAGUAAGUGCAUUUGCUAUAAUGUUUUGACAUUCUUUGAAAAUUGUCUAAUUUUAAUCAAGAGCAUAUUCAUUUAUGAACGCUUACCACAGUAAAUCCUAACUACGUUAUUCCUUUAGAUUGAGUGUAAGCCUCUAACCAAAUGCCUGAAGUUUAUCUUCUAGCAAACAUGGGAAUAAGCCCAAUCAA